GUGGUUUGUAACUCUAUGACGCGUGGCAUUGGGUUCCCCAUGGGUCCAGAGAUUGACAACCCACCUAUACUUUGUCUGCUGCCUAGCCUAUUUCGGUAGUUGAUUUUCACUGGUGGGACAUGUUAAAUCAUUCGUUGUCAUACCACAUGGAACUGCGUAGAAGAUUGGCAGGAAUGAUGAAUCAAUUAGAUGUGCGAAGUCUCCUUGUGAGCUUAACUUUUGAGGCAUACAUUCUGUCUGACCUGCCAAUCAGCUCAUCUAUGUUUCAAAGCAAGUUGCUUUUUUUUGUCAUUUGUUUGUGAGCUUUACCAUAUGUUUUGGGAAGAUAAAAACACUACUUUUCGACUUGAAAUUUCAAGUGAGCUAACCUAUCGAGGCACAUUUUUCAUUUUAACCAUCUUCUAGGAUGUAUUAUUUUAUUCAAUUAAUAUACCCUGUGUUAUCUUAUUGCUAGGUAUGAGUGACUCACUGACUCUUAGUUUGUGAAGUUCUAUCAUCAAGUAUUUUGUUGCUGUGUCCAGCAGUGCCAUGUAGUAUGUAUGUGGAAAUUAGCAGAUUGGCUGGGAUGAUGAAUCAAUUAGAUGUGUGAACUCACCUUAUGAUCUAAAACUUUUGAGGCAUAAUUACUUUCUGACCUGCCAAUCUAGUAACAUUCAAAACAUUUUUUCACUGUGUUUGGCUCUGAUGCUUGGACUGGCAUGCCUUGCCAGAAAGUUAGUGUCAUUUGCUAAUGUUAUGCCAGUAGUACCAUCAUGUAUUAUAGGCACAGUAGUGCUGCAUCUGUUUUCCUGAUAUUGCUCCCUUUUAGGGUAGACUGAGUUCAGCAUGUGAAUACAUUUCGACUGUUUUCUUGCAGGUGCUAUGCUCGGCUGCACCCCAGGGCUGUCAACUGCCGCAAGAAGAAGUGCGGCCACAGCAACCAGGUGAUUAUCAUUGUUCUAUACAAGCAAGUGAUUUAGAUUUGCUGUUUACUUGGCACCAAUGUUCUUUAGUAAUAGGAGCAACAGCUAAGGGCACCAUUAGAUUUUAGAAUUUGUAUUGACCCUUGCAAUUUAGAGCGGUGCAAGUCUGCUGCUCUAAUUAUGUUUGAAGUAGUGUAGUGUGUUGAGCAUAUUAGGUUUACAUCAGCCUUAGAUUUGUGAUUUUUUUUAAUACUGUUGUGAGAAAUUGCACUUGAAAUGUCAACCAAGUUUAGUAUAGCUUGUUGACAAGUAUUCUAUAUCCUCGCCGAAAUGCGUCUUAUCUACUGUAGCAUCUAACGUGCUUUCAAAUUCCUACCCUUUCAGCUGAGGCCCAAGAAGAAGAUCAAGAACUAGAGUUUGAGAUAUCAUUUCCGCGGAUCAUUGAAAUCAACAGGAAGAUCAGAGUUUAAGUUUUUUUGUAGUGUAAUGCCUCAUGUUGUAUGCCGAACUUUCUGUUUAUCCUGUUGUAUGUUAACCUUGGUUACGCUGGAGAGUACUCCAGCUUAUUUUGAUGACAUAAUUGACUACAAAGUCAAGGUUAUAUGGCCCGGCCUUAAUUUUUGUCCCCUUCGAAGUUUGCCCCUCAUUGUUGUUUGUGGUUGCUACCAUGCUGUGAUCUGAAUUCAAAUUGUAAGUUUAUAACCGGGCCAUCUCAGUUACUACGUGUGAUUCGUGUGUUGUCAAGUGGUGAUUGGCUACACAGCUCUUGUGGUACAGGCUGCAGAUUGGAACGCCUCUGUCGUUUUGUUUGAUGAAUUUCAAGGCAGACAAAUUCCUUCGUUAUGUGAGUGUCUACUACUCAUGUCCUGGAAAGUUGAAAUAGACUUUUGAUGAUAUGACUUGAAGAGCGAAGAAUCUGCACUGAUCAGAAGGAAAUUAAGCAGUACUCGAUCGUUUAUUUUGGAGAGCACUUACAUUACAAUAUUGCAUAAACAUUACAGCAGGAAUUAAGGCAUGAUUCGGAUUUCAGAAAACAUGCCAAAAUUAAACAUUCAUUUCAUUUUAUUUGCAACCAACAGAUCGAAGGUGACGAUGGUUUGAUGAAAACACACAACAGCCAUGAGCUCCAGGUUCAGGUUCGCUCACAACUCACUAGAAGUAAAAGUAGUAGGAGGCUGCGAAGCAAAGCAGCAGGGUGAUGGCCCAGCGCGACGGCAGCAAAGCCGCGGCGGCGGAGGAGGAGGACCCCGGCGAGGGCCUCGGCGAAGGCGGCGCCUGGUCUUGCUUGAGCUGGUCGACGGUGGCCUGGUCGGUGUGCAUGGACUUGUCGAGGAUGGUGUCGUCGAUGCCGCUGCCGAAGAGCGCGGCGGGGAGGGAGAUGGUGCCGGGGGUGGCGCUGCCGAAGGCGGAGAAGGCGCGGGCGACGACGUCGGUGCCAUUGUUGAACUGGAAGUGCACCAUGCCCUUGGGGAACACGAACAUGUCGCCGGUCUGCAGCGUCUGCGUGUACACGGUGCCGUUGCGGGCGGCGUCGACGAGCCCCACCAGCAGCGGGCCCUGCACGACCACCAGCAGCUCCGACGCCCUGGGGUGGAUGUGCGGCGGGUUGACGGUGCCGGCGCCGAAGACGAGGGCGGCGUAGGACACGGACUGGCCAAGCAGCGCCGGGAACUCGGCGUGAGUGGCCUUGGUGACGGUGAGCUUGGCCGGGUCGCCGGAGUUGCCGGUGACGAGGUUCUUGUAGGUGAAGAAGGCGCCGUCGAUCCCGGAUGGGUCGGUGUCGCUGGGCACGACGAAGUCGGUGAGGAUGUCCGGGUCGGCGGCGCCGGCGGAGAGGAUCACGGCCAGCAGGAGCAGCACGCCGAGGCUGACGCUGCUGCGGCUACUCAUCAUCAUCGUCGUAUCUUAGCUCUGUUAGUUAGUGUGCGAUGGAUCGAUCGAGGUGGAGGCAGCCGCAAAUUGAUGAACGAGCGAGACGUACGGUGGUAUUUAUGUGCGUAGAAUCGCCGGCUCGGCUUAGGAAAAGCUGUCACCAUGCUGCAUGGCUUGUCAUGUAUGUAAACAGCUUCAUCGUUGCUCUUCAUCAGCUUAUUAAUUAGCCACAAUCAACAAAGUUAAAUUUUAAUUUUUAAUUUUGAAGAUAAUUUCAAUAUUUUUUAUACUUUAUUUUUUCAACAUUAACUUUUAAAUCACUAGGAACACACAUGCAUAAAGUUUUUAUUUUUUUUAUCACAAAUAAACGUUAAGGUUUACGCGAAAAGAUCAGACUGUAAAGUUGAUUCCUUCGUUUCCUAGGUCGUUUCACAAAUAAAUUAAUUACUACAUUCAUAUAUGAGAGCAUAUGCAUACGUGCGUGCGUACGUCGUCAUUCGGAACAGAGCUAACAGUCCAGACCCCCAGUGUACAAACAUUGUUGAAAUACUAAUUACUGGACCAGUUUGAUCAAGCUGCCAUGUGUAGUAUAUUAGCCGGCGCCUUGUGCCGCCAUAUAUUUGCUCGCUUUGGAAACAACUACAACAUUUGGUCUUAAUUGCUGUCUGAUUAGCUUUCCUGCUGUAUAGAAUAUGCAUUUGCAUUUGUGUACUAUACAUAAAACAAUCGAUCGAGUUUCCAAGGCAUUUGGGUUUAGUGGUCUUAUUAAUUCUCUUGUGUGCACUACACCUUAGCCUUUUCCAUUAGCAUAUUGCACCAUGCAAGAAGAAUGAUCAUCCAUCGGUUUCCAAACGCAAAUAAUUAAAUUAUUAGAGGUAAUUAAGCAGCUACCAAGUGCAUGGCUGUGUAUAUCCAUUGAGAUAUAGACGCCGGAUUUUAAUCUAUUUUCAAAAAAAAAAAGUGCAUGUGCGCAACAACUACUAGGUAGUCAUUCUUUUCUUAAAAAAAAUCACAAAACAACAAAUACUAUCACACAACUAUAUAUAUAUAUUUAUUUAACAUCAAAUUAAUUUAUCAUGAAACUAUAGAUUUAAGAUAGAGAAUCACAAAAAUAUAUUAUAUGAUGAAGUUAUCGUAGAACUAGCGCCAACUUAAUCACAUCACUACAACGUUAAGAACUCCAACAGGACAUCGUUGUUAGGGAUUUAAACUAUACAAUCUGUAGUUUGAGAUGAAUGUAUUUAAAUGAAAGUUCGUGGCGACAGUUGAAAGUUUUGUAUGAUUUAUAUAUGUUGAAAGUCACAUGGUUUUAAGUGGAAAGUUUCGUAGGAAAGUGAUACUAAAAGAAAAAAGUGUGCGCUAGCUGGUCAUGCCUACUUGAAACAAGAAUAGAACAAUCGCCGACUCAAAAAAGAAAGGGAAAAACAGAAAUUCAAUUUUGACAUAUCUCAAUCGAAUUAAGUUUUCAAUGAUCACAACUCAAGUCAAAACAUACAUAAAUAUAUACUAGCACACUCGACUCGAGGUCGAGGAUUAUUCCCACGUACGGCCACACUACAGCUUGCAGCAUUUUCAUCUGUCACGCUUUUGCGUUGCACUGCAUGUCUGCAUUGCUUGGUGUUAUUCAACUAGUAACAGCCAACAGGACGACAUACGACAAUGGCGAGAGAAGGAAGAGUAGCUAAUUAGGACUUGUUGGGCGGAGUCAGGUUCGCCUUGAGCUUCAGGAUCGUGGGCACGUCGGUCUUGAACGAUUUGGCGAGCACGGCGUCGUCGAUGCCGGUGCCGAACACUGUGACCGGCACCGGCACGACCCCCGGGGCGGCGCUGCCGAACGCCGAGAGCGCCAUGGCCGGCUGGUUCCCGGAGUUGAAUUGGAAGUGCACCAUCCCCUUGGGGAAGACGAACAUGUCGCCGGCGGCCAGGUCCUGGGUGUAGAGCUUGUUGGUCGUGUCGAUGAAGCCGACGGAGAGCGCGCCGUCGACGACGAGCAGGAGCUCGGCGGAGCGCGGGUGGGUGUGCGGCGGGUUGACGGUGCUCGGGGGGAAGACGAGCGUGGCGUAGGAGACGCUCUGGCCGUUGAGCGCCGGGAACUCGGCCAUGGUGGCCUUGGUCACGGUGAAGCUGUUCGGUUCCGGCGCGCUGCUCGUGUUGAACACCUUGCGGAAGCCGGUGAACGUGAAGAAGUCGCCGGUGAUGUUCAUGGGGUUGCCGUUCGCCGGGAUGACAUAGUCGGUGAGGAUGUCGGGGUCGCCGGCCAUGACUAGGGUCAGUGCUGGGGCCCAAACUGCAAGCAGCAAUAGUAGCAAAGAGUAGUAGCUCAACGCCAUUGAAUCUAUUUUAAUCGUUCGAUCAGCUGCUAAACUGUCAGUAAGUAAUGAGUUAAGACGAAGUUUAAUUUGACUGAUGUGGUCUAGUCUUCAAUCUACUUGUGUUAUGGAGACAGUGAGCAGUAGGAUUUGGCUAUUUAUGCAGAAGAAGCGUCUGACGAUAAGCCGGAGAAAUCGAGGUUGAAAUUGACAUAUACUAUGCGUAAAUUAAUCAUUCAUCUUCCGUUGUUGGACGACCGAAAGAUCGGUGCAUCAAGAUAAAGAAACUAGCCAGCUAGAGGUUCCUGUUAAAACUUAUGCCCGUCCAGAACAGAACAGAACAGAUUAGAUUUCUGGCCUCCGAGAAUGAAUACGUAUCUGAUGCCAUGCUACUUAGCUUGUUAAAUUAGGAAGUCAGAUUGUUAACUCCAUCAGUUAUCUUGGACGUAUUCUGCAUUCCCCUGGUUGUUUACUAUGAAUAAUAGCAAGGAAGAUGCAUGAUGAGAAACCAAGGGAGAAAGCAAAUGUCAUCCCAAGGCAUCAAAGUCCUACCCACCUACAGCUGCACUGCAAGAAUAUCUCAUUGCCAAUUCACUACUGCUUCGUCAGGAAUGACAUAUCUUCCAUUGAUAACUCAGCUCAGCUGUGCGGUCCAGUUGCCUUUCUAGUUCAACUGAAUUAUCAAACAAUGCAGGUCUAUUAACUCUUACACACCAAGACUUGUUGUUUUUUGCGUGCUUGUCCUCAGUGUUUUGAUUUGAAGUUGUUUGUGUCUGUACUGCCUUCUGGUAGGCUUCUGUGCUCCUCCUUAAUAUAUCCAGUAGUGCUCCUCCCGUCGGUUUCAAAAGAAGAUUUGAAGUUGUUUGUCAUAAUGGUAAAUACAUGGACCAAUUGGCAGUGAGGAUGGUGGAAGUUUCCCUUUUUAGCUACUGUUUGGCAGUGAGGAUGGUGGAAGUUUCCCUUUUUAGCUACUGUAGUAGAGUGGAAAUUCAAAGCAUGUGAGAUGAACAGGUAAAAUGCAAUCAGUGAACUGUAGAAACCACAAACGGGAAAAGGCAUGCUACAACUGAGACAAACAAUGGAUAAGCUUUGAUAAUGGAAAUGGACGUCGUUGGUAGGUACACUCGGUGUUGAGCAUUGUUCAGACAGAUGUAACAAUGCAAUGAUGUAUAUUACUAGUAUAAAUUAACUUUGUUUGAUACUAUAAGAGAAUUCAACUUGAGAGCCCACUGUAAUUUAACAGAACUGCUCUGAAUAUGGGUUGCUAGAAUGGUGCUCUUGACUCUUGAGGGCUUAUAUGUUAGGAUUCAGGAGAAACAUAACAGAUGUUAAAUUCUUAGUUUUAGUUGGUGAUGCAUAUUGCAGUUGUUUAUAUUGAGAUCCAUGUUAUCCAUCUGACCAUCAUCAAUAUUUCUGUCUUGUGGAUAUAUGCAGACUGGCAUAUAAGAGGGUGACUGUCUGACUGAGUAUAUAUGUGGAUAUAUGCAGAUUUAGCAUAUAAGAAGGUGAGUAAGAUUGCAACACAAAUUUACUAUUGCCAGUAACAGGUAGUAAGUGGAAACACACAGUAUUAAGAGAUGUAUCAUUAUUGUGGAAAGCCGUUACAGCAGAGAAACUCUCAACACUUACAACUGAACUGGUCUAUAUAUAUUCCCACAACGCCUUAAUUAAUACUGAUAGAUACAUGGUUCAAAGCUCUUCAGACAAGACAAUACAACCACAAUUCAGAAUUAUUCACCACACAAAUCAUAAUUUACCUUCUUCAGUAGUUGGUAGCCUGGAAGGUCUCUUAUUUCAAGCAGCAGCAGCAGCAGGAUGAAAAACAAGAAUAAUUAACACCAACGGGGAGGGCUUAGGCUUUCUUGGGAGGAGUUAGGCCUGCCUUGAGCUUCUGGAUCGUAGGCACGUCGGUCUUGAACGACUUGGCGAGCACGGCGUCGUCGAUGUUUGUGCCGAACACGGUGACCGGCACCGACACGAGCCCCGCGGCGGCGCUUCCGAACGCCGAGAGCGCCAUGGCCGGCUGGUUCCCGGAGUUGAACUGGAAGUGCACCAUCCCCUUGGGGAAGACGAACAUGUCGCCGGCGGCAAGGUCCUGGGUGUAGAGCUUGUUGGUCGUGUCGACGAAGCCGACGGAGAGCGCGCCGUCGACGAGGAGCAGGAGCUCGGCAGAGCGCGGGUGGGUGUGCGGCGGGUUGAGGGUGGCCGGGGGAUACAUGAGGACGGCGUAGGAGACGCUCUGGCCGUUGAGCGCCGGGAACUCGGCCAUGGUGGCCUUGGUCACCGUGAAGUUGGCGUUGGGCAUCGGCAUGCUCAUGUUCAUGCUCAGCGGGUUGCGGAAGCCGGUGAACGUGAAGAAGUCGCCGGUGAUGUUCUCGGCGUUGCUGCCGGCCGGGAUGACGUAGUCCGUCAGGAUGUCUGGGUCGCCGGCCAUGACCAGCGCCACUGGAGCUGACACUACUGCAAGCACCACCAGGAGCAAGAUGGAGGAUGCCAUUAUUGUAUCAGGUCAGAUGGCCUGAAUCUUGAUUAAGCUUUGGAGGCUAAAUGAUCUUGCUAAUAAGCAGCUUGGGUUGUGCACUUGUGCUUGUGCCAUGGAGAUGAUGAGCAACCCAAUUUAUAAGAAGCUUUUCUCUUGGCCAGGAGGAAUUGGAGGAACCAAUGCUGCCGUCUGUCUUUUGUGCGAUCGAAAUGGCAACACUCAAGGCUUUUGACAGCUUGCUCCUUGGAUGCAUCUAGCAUCAAAAUUGCAUAUCCUGCAUUCAAUUAUUUUCAGAAUGGAGCUGGCAUAAUACAAUCUGACUUGGAAGUUAAGGAUCAUGCAUGUGCCAGGCAUCGCAAAGCCUUCACUUGAGUAAAUACUGGAUGUUUAAUAAAAAUAUCUCACAAGUAGAGUUUAGCGUCGAACUAGUCUAAUCUAUUUGUACCACAGUUUACAAAAUGGCAACAUCAAGUCUAAAAAUGGAGACAAAGAAUGCAAUAUCGAAUCGACUUCACAUCUACCUUGUCAGCCCCCUUGAAACCAGGUUCCUGAUGCUUUGCAAGACGAUUUUCGUGUGCAACAUCUCGCGAUAAACAGCACACAACAAGCUAAAAGCUAUUAAUAGCUUCAUCGCCAAACAAAUGGCUUCUAAACUGAUAACAGUACUAGCGAAAACUAGUAAUACGCUAUCAUGCUCCACCAAAUCAAGACGUAAAAUGACAUGUUUACUAGCUUCUGAUGAUCCAGGGCAGGCACAACUCAGCUGACUUUGGAAGAGGCUUAACACGGCCGAGCCCACUGAGAUCACAAUGCGUCUGAGUUGACGCAGAAAUAAUUCUUGGCAUAAUGGAACCGAAAACACCAGACAAACUGACACAGCAGUAGCACCGUAUAAGGUGCAAUUUAAUUGGGCAAUAAUCAAGAUAGAUACCGAGAUAACAUCACCUUAACAAUGUGCCAAAAAUCUCAAAACAUUCAACAUUACUGGGGCAAAUGAACACCCACAUAUGUAUCACUGAAUAAACUUAACAGAACGGCAACAUCAGGUCUAUAAGACUAGAAAAUGGAUAAGACAACAUCAUGUGUUCGUUGCCCUGGUGUAAAUCUGUUGGCUGCAAUGAACCGACACCAUCCUGAUAAGCCCCCUAUCCAUCAGAUCCUUCAUAGCCCUCCUAGCCAGGGACCCAUUAAUCUGCAGGUAAAUAUAUAAAAUCUUGUUACCCAUACUGAGCAAGAUGAUUAAAAUUACCUAGCUGUACAACAUCUAGGUAUAAAUUACACAGAAGGCUAAAACAACAAUGAUGACGUUAAGAGUUACAUUGCCAAAAGAGAAUAUGCUAUAUGUUGCACAUGCAAGGGGAAAAGAGCAAGAUCAAACUUGCCAUACUAAUAACAGUAGUUUCAGGUACUAAUAAAAAUUCACAAAUCAACUAUAUAGUUUGGCGCAUGGAAACCAAACAAACAUGCACAGAGGCCUAACAAAUCAUUACUCCUUUGCUCAUUGGCAUCACUCAACCACACAAAAAUGCCAACCAUGACACCGAAUACCCCAAACAGUGGUGAUUCUGCAUUUAACUCAUGGAUGGAAUAUCAAUAUCAUAACCCACAAAUUUAGCACAGGAGCCUAAAAUUAACCACAAGGUCCUUAUCUUCCUGAAUUCUAUCAAGUGGGCUAGGCUACAUGACUGUGAAAAUAUAGUGAAAAUCUGAAUUGGCGCGCAUAAACAAAGAAGAAAUUGAGAAUGUGAGCUAGGCAACCAGCAUGGCACAGUAUUGUUGGUGGUAAUCUAAAUUUAUCAAUGAAUUACCCUGAGGCGCUCGGAGAGGACGGAGGGGGUGAUCUGCUUGUACUUGGGCACCUCGGAGAGCAGCUUGUCGUAGGUGGCCUGGUCGAACAGCACCGAGUUGUUCACCUUCUCCUUUUGCUUUCCCUUGCUCCACUUCUGCAAACCAAACGGAGGCAAAUCCAUGACCAUGAGAAAACCGAACAAGCCAGAUCCGAAUAAAACCGAACAGGAGGAGGAAUGGAGAUGACCUUCUUCUUCUGCUUGCCACCGCCGGACUUGGCGGGCUUGGACGACGGCGGCGGGGCCUUGUCCUUCUUCGGGGCCUGAGACAGCAAGCAAGCGAGAGGGUCAGCACGCAGCCGGCGAUCGAGCAAAAAUGGUGGGAGAGACAAACGAGGCGUACCAUUUCGACGACGCGAUGCGGCGGCGGAAGAAGGCGCAGGCGAAGGCAAGGAUGGCGGCGACGAGGAGGAGCAGGCUGAGGCUGCAGGUAUAUGACUUGGGAGGUGGGGAGGCUAGGGUUUCAGCGCUCCGAUGCGUUUCUGGCCGUCGGAUUUGAUCUGAUCCGGAGUAUUAUUCAUCCAAGUCCCACACAAACCUCUAAUACUCGUUAACCAUCCCUGAGGGGAGGACUACGUAGAAUGUUUUCAAAUAAGCAUAUUUGAAAGGGCCAAAUUACAAAGUAGCACAGGGAGUCAUAGCAGCGGUGGAAUAGAAUCGAGUCAUCAUCAUCAUCAGUGGGGGAGUUGGGAGAGAGAGACAGUUUCACGGAGCCAACGAAGCGAAGAUCCUCUCGUCUCGUGUUCUAGGGUUUCUCGCGGCGAUGGAGGCGGCGGCUAGGGCUCCAUCCAGGGCGGCGGCGAGGUUCGUGCAGCGCAGGCUCUUUUCCUCCGGCGGCAAGGUGCUCGGCGAGGAGGAGAAGGCCGCCGAGAACGUCUACAUCAAGGUAUCUUCCUUCCAUCUCUCUCCCUCUCGGGUGCGGGCGCGCGAUUCCUGUCUGAGAUGCGUAUGCGCUGUGAUCUGUGGGCUCGGGUUGAGCGGUGUGUGGAUUUCACCUAGUUCCGCAAAUCUGGGACUUGAGAGAGAGAGAGUCGCGACGCGGUCUCUCUUUCUUUCCUGUACGAGUCCCCCUGCCCGCACCGCACUCAGCUCUGGGAUCCCCAAAUAUUUUCGGCCUGCAUUGUUGCAGUGCACGCCUAGGAAUAUAUUAUACGUCUGCCUGUUUACUGAUCUGGAAUACAGUUGAGUUGGCUGUCGUCCUGCCUGCGUCCCUCAUCCAUUAGCACAGCAAUUUAUGACUGAUAUAUGUUCACCCUGUGCCUUGCUUCACAUAUGCUAUUGCGGUUGCAAUGUUGCAUCAAAAUUCUUUCCUGUUAGAUUAUUCUUGCAUUUUUUUUGGCCUAAUUGAGACAGAUUCUUGCUUGCUACUUGAACAUACCCUGUUUGAUUUACAUUAUUGAGUAGAUUGUUGCCACCGAUUAUCUACUUGAUUAUAGGGACAAAUUAAAUAUUUUGAGAAAUGAACUUAACAAAUAGCUUAAAACAAUUGGUUUAAGGUCAGUUUUAUGUGGGUUUUUUUUUUCUUCAUGAGAAGCAGAGCAGGGUUGUUCUCCUGGUUUUAUAAAAAAGAUCGUUCAAAUAUUACUCAUUCAACAUUUUGUACAAUAGUCAAGCUGUUCUUGUUUUAAUUAUCUAUAUCUGUGAUCUUCUAUGCCGGUUGCUCAAUUAUACUCUUUUGAAGCACUGCAGUAGCUGGCCUGAUGUUAUUCUAGUGAUCCUCACAAACGUACUGCUGGCACUGAUUUGUUUUCUCCAUUAUGUAUUUGUACUACUGCUGUUUCAAUUGGAUCGUUGCUGGCAUCCCAUAUUUUGCUUGGCUUUCUGUGGAAGUGUGAAUACAGUCUUAUCUCAGGACUGACUGUUGAUGCUUAUGCUUUGUGAUAUUAGUUUCUUCUUUUUAAGGCAUGGCCUUUUUUUAGUUCCUUUUGUUCUUUGAUUGCCUUUAAGGACCGCAAAUGUAUAUCUAAAAGUACAUUUGAUGCUCGGAAUUUUGUAACUCUGCAGACAGAUGUAGAUGUUCUUUUAGAAUCAAUCAUUGUUUCUUUCAAAUAGAAACCUUUUCCGAAAUUACCCGCUUUCUUAAUCGUUGCGAACUUCUGUUUUAGAAUGUAUCUUGACGCUAUGCUAACAACAUGCAUGGUGACUUACUGCAGAAAAUGGAACACGAGAAGCUGGAGAAGUUGGCCCACAAGGUAUGCAAACAUAUUGCCUCUCUUAAAACUUGAUUGGGCAGUGCCUUUAAUGGCUCACUCUCAUAAGUCCUCUCAGCUUUUUUUUUUUGUCAUGCACAAGAGAUUAUGCAUUCUUUUAUAUGUUGUCAUACAUUUAUAAAAUUUGUUUUCGUUGGAUAUUCAUGUUUUGAACUUAAUACAAGCUAGUAUCUGCUUUGAGUGGGCGAGGGAAAUGAAACUGUUCUAGUUCUUGCGCUUACAAUAGAUGUGAGCUACUUUCAGGGCCCCAACCCAGGAGAGCAAGCUUCAACCGCAGGUGCUGCGGCUAACGCUGUGAAGACUGGAAGCGGCUCAACGGAGUCAAGAUCUGCUGGUGUGUCAACUGACAAAAACAGGAACUAUGCUGUCCUGGCAGGCACUGUUGCUGCUUUGAGUGGCCUGGGGUGGUAUCUCUUGUCAAAGCCUAAGAAGUCUGAAGAUAUAGUGGACUGAAGGUGGUUAAUGAGAUCCUAGACGGUCUGUCAUUGAGUUUCACCCUGUUUUACUUGUUUAGAAAUAAAUGCUGAACACACUGCACUGAGUUUCCUAUAGCAUCACUAAAACUUUCAAGUAUGCACCCGAGAUAUGUUCUCAGUUCUUCAUGCCCUGUUUUGACUGUUGGCACUGUUCUCUGAUGCUGCAUCCUUUUGAUUGAAGAGGAAUUCGGAUACAAGAUAGUACAUGAAAUCCCGUUGUUUCUAGUCCUUGUUUGAACCAAGUGUUGUUUUAAAUUUCAGCAAGUGAUGGUUUUAUUUCUUUUUCUUGUUUUACUGAAUGAUCAUUGAGUCGUUUGCGCCUCAAAAUUACUCGUGUUUAUCGGAUUGACAGUGAUAUGGUGCGUGGACCAGGUUUUUGUACCAAAUUAGAUGGCUGUGACUACUCGUGCAGACAGCGACUCGGUAGUCGUUUCAGAUAUGCUGCCUAGUAGGACUUUACAAAGCUAUGGUUCGUGUUACUAGUAAAUGGAAGGCAUGAAGAGCAUGUUUAUGGCCAUCAUCAGGCGUUGAAGGAGCUAGUAUUGUGUCAAACAAAUCAUCGUUUAGAUCAUCUACGAGCGGUGGAUGCAAUAUGCAAGUAUAUUUUGGCCACGCAUCUCUAUAUUGCACAAAUCCCACAGCAGCAGAAGUAGCUCUGUGGUAUUGUUUCAUAAGGGCCACAAUUAAAACCGCUACCAUAUGAAAAUUAUCAAACCGCUAUCGAUGAGAUAAUAAUAACCGCAAAUAGUGAGCUUAACUGCAGUUCAAACUAAUUACUCCAUCUAGAUAAGCUAGGAUCGAUGGCCGCAUGAGCGCCGUGGAGCCGGUGCUCCAGGCAGGGAAAAGACUUGAGUUUUAGCGGGCGGUUGAGGUGAUCGAUCACGAGGAGUCAAGGCCAGCGAUCGAUCCCGAUCACCUCCGGCUGGUGACAUUGCCUGCCUGCCUCGUGGGCUCGUGGGCGCAUGGCCCCGGCCCAAACGAAACAAAUUAAAGCGGCCCAGCCCUUUUUUACAGCAGGUACAAUAGCAGAUUAUAAGCCAGCUGCAAAUAUAUUUUAACGAGAUAAAUAAGGAAAGAGAACAGUAGCGGGCUACAGAUUUAUAGGCAGCUAUAGCACGAACUCCAAGACACAGUGUGUGUAUGAUAGGUGGGACCAUGUAUUAAUAGUGUAGUAUGAAACUUCUGUAUGAAUGAGCUAUUAGAUUGGCUAAAAAUGAAUUGGAGCUAGUAGUUGGCUAUACUAUUAAACUUGCUCUUACUAAUACUAAUUAUUUUAUUAUUUGAUCGAUCGAGUACGCUUUUAAAAAACAAAACUUACUCCAAUCUAGUCAUUGCUAGGACGUGAUUCCUGCAUAUGCUGCCUUCAUCCCACACAGUUGAAUUCUUUAGAGGUGACCGGCAACCAUGUACUAUACCCCUAUAGGUAGAUAAUCAAAUUAUUAGUAAAUAUAGUUCGUCCUUAAUUACAUGCAUGUGGUCGUCUGAAUCUGCCAGUACCGACGAAUCGACGACACUGACGGCCUUUCCUGCCUUUGUUUCUGCAGUUUCCACUCUCUGACUUUAAUAUUUACCACACGUUUGCAACUAGUAGCAACGCGAGGCGGCUUCCUUAAUUUUCAUUUCUUUUUCUUAACCACUUAAUUACUGAUUUCUCUCUCUCUCUUCUUUUGCAGGGAACUUAAUUACUGACUUCAUGCAUAUGCUCUCGAACUAACAGGGAAAAAAAAGCAAUAAGUGUUGCUCAACACAAAACAUAUAAACUACCAAAAUAUGCUCAAUGUUAGAUGUAAUUAAACUAAAUAAGUGCUAUAAGUGUUGCUAUAUUAUUCUAUAAAAUUGGUCAAACUUUAAUACGAAACGGAUGGAACAAUGCUCUUUUUAAACGGAGGGGUAGAAGUUAAAUAACAAUUAAUAUUAUUAUUUUUAUGUAAUAUCAAUGGACUAAGUAAUAAGUGUAGUGUAUGUGUAGCAGAUAAACAAUGAAGGAACACACAGAAGAAAAGGAAAAAAGAAAAGCACAGGCAGAUAAGAUGGAGGAGGCGAGGAGAGUUGCGUAGGAUGGAGUGAUUCCAAUGCAACCUCCGCCUCACGUUCCGCGGAAUCCCCAUCGGACGCCUCAGGUUGCGCCACGCGUCACGCAGCGGGGCCAGAUUCGUUUCGCCUUCCACGACGGCUCGUCUCCAACGAUCGAGCGAGCGGUCGCUGAUAAAAAUAAUAGCACAAAAUUUUUAUUUCAUUUAUUUAUUUCUACAAAAACAAAGGAAAGAAAUUAGGAAGGGCGGAGCGAGAAGAAGCUAGACACGAGAGGCGGGGCACGGUAGGCGGCUUCCCGAAGAAAUCUCCUCCUCCUCCUCCGGUCGCCGUUCGACUCCGAUCCCGACCAGUCGCCGCCGCCUCCCUCCUCAGGUACCUUAUCCUCUCCUUCUCUCCCCCUCCAAUCGGACCUCUACUGUUCCAGACGCCCGUCGAAUCAAAUUCGAUUCAACCUUUCCGAUUUCUUUCCGUGAUUAGGACGAUCCCUAGGGCCUUUUGAUUCUUUGCGUUAUCGUGCAAUCUUCUCAACGUGCGAUUUAAUUUCUUGCAGCUUGGAUCAAGGAAACCACCCCUUCGAUUCAUUGAUUGAUCGAUUGAUUGAUUGGCUAGGCCUCUCCAACAAUUUUGGUUCCCGGACCGAGGUUAAUUCUUGAGCGCUAGGUGGGGGCGAGGCGUCGGAUCCAGCCAUGAUGGUGGUUGAUACGGUCAGCGCCAGCACCUCCCUCGUUGCCCACCACCUGUUCGACCAAAGGUCCAAGGCAAACCACCACCUCCGCCGGACUCUCCAUGUCGUCUCCUGCCGCCCCCUGCCCACUCACUUCGCCGGUCGCCGCCUUGUGGCCAGGGCGCCCAGGCAGCAUCAACCUCGCCUCGCGGACUGGACCGUCAAGGCGCUCGCCAUGGGGGUCACCAAGGAGGCCAGCCCUCACAGGGAGUACCGGGGGAUCCCGGGGGAAGGCGCUGACAUGGGCGAUAUUGGGAUCACCAAUCCCAAAACGACGUGGCCUCCACGGAACAGGGCCGAUGAUCCCAAGCUGCACAACCCGCUGCUCCGGCUUGAGCGCAUGGGCUGUGGUUGGCUCGGAGUGAUCUUUGAGUGGGAAGGCGUGAUUGUUGAGGAUGACGCUGAAUUGGAAAGGCAGGCAUGGUUUACCCUCGCGCAAGAAGAGGGCAAGUCUCCACCCCUGGCGUUUGUAUUGAAGAGGAUUGAAGGAAUGAAAAGCGAGCAAGCGAUAUCUGAGGUUCUCUGCUGGUCUCGGGACCCAUCUGAGUUAAGGAGAUUGUCCUCACGGAAAGAGGAGAUACGCUGCAACCUACGUGGAACUGCCUUUUAUCAAAUGAGGAAUGGUUCGAGGGAGUUUAUGAGCACGCUUGCCAACUAUAAGAUCCCUCUUGCCGUGGCCACCACGCGGCCAAGGAAGGUUAUCGAAGAAGCAAUUGACGCUGUUGGCGUGCGAAGCUUCUUUGAUGCAGUUGUGGCAGCAGAGGAUGUGUACCGGGGGAAGCCUGACCCUGAAAUGUUUCUCUAUGCAGCGCAGCUCCUGAGUUUCAUCCCUGAGAGGUGCAUCGUUUUUGGUAACUCCAAUUCAGCAGUGGAGGCUGCACAUGAUGCCAGAAUGAAGUGUGUGGCUGUUGCAAGCAAGCACCCGAUCUACGAGCUUAAUGCCGCGGACCUUGUGGUGAAGCAGCUUGAUGAGCUCUCUGUGGUUGACCUGAAGAACCUUGCUGACAUUGAGUCUCCAGAGUUUGGCAUGGAGCCUGAGCCAGAGAUGGAGGAGGAGGAGGACGAAGAUUCGUCCCCGUCAACUUCAGUUGGUGUAGAUGAUUUGUUCUGGUAAGGAAGCCAGAUUGUAAAUUUGAUUGAUUCCGCUCCUGCACAUGUGUACGAUUGUCAGUCAAUAGCAAUGAUCAGGAAGGGCCAUAUAUUCCUUCUAAUCAAUCCGUCCGUAGACUGUGAUAUGUAAAUGUUUCUUUAGAACUUACACUGUAUAUACACUGUACCUCACAGAUAAGGGGGAACUGUCUGAAUACUUGAUGGAAUAUAAACCAAACUGCAGUUCCUAACAAAUGUAUAACUGGGAUGUUAGUCAGUUGCAAACUUAGAGGAUUCCAUAUAAUAUACUAUGCUACUUACAUGCUCUUUUCCUGAGGCAGUAUUGUUUUACACUUUGAUGGAAGGGAAGUUUUUUGUUUGGAUUUUGGGCAACAAUUCGAUUGCAAAAUUAGAGGAUUCCAUAAUAACAUACUAUGCUACUUACAUGCUCUUUUCCUGAAGCAGUCUUGUUUUACACUUGAUGGAAGGGAAAUUUUUUGUUUGGAUUUUGGGCAACAAUUUGGUUGCAAAAUUAGAGGAUUCCAUAAUAAUAUACUAUGCUACAUACAUGCUCUUUUCCUGAAGCAGUCUUGUUUUACACUUGAUGGAAGGGAAGUUUUUUGUUUGGAUUUUGGGCAACAAUUAGUUUAUCGUCAAGAAUUAUCACUCCUUAACACGAGCCCAAAGCGAAGAAUUAUUACAUGUGUUUUGACUGAAUGAUUAAAAUCCAUGUAUUAGAAGGCUAAUAUCUUUGUGUUUUGGCGCCCAAAGUUAAUACCCAUGAAACUUUUGACCAUAUGCGAAUAUUCAAGCAUUUUUAACCCAAGGUUAAUCACGUAAUUGGGUUCAAUGUUGUACUAAUGAAAGUUUGACUUUUGAGACAGGUUAAUAUUUAGGAAUAUUGUUCUGAACAGGUUCAAAGCUAAUUACAGUCAUAAAGUUUUGGGCUGGACAUAAACAUUCAUGCAUUCUUUUCCAAAAUGUCAGGCCCAAGGCUAAAAAUCACAAAAGUUUUCGUCCUAUGAUUACUAUUUAAUAAUUUUCUUCCGAACGGACCCAAGGCUAAUAGUUAUGAAAUUUUGGGGGAAAAAUCAUGAGUUUCUUGUCCUAUGGUUAAUAUUCACGACUUUUCUGCCUAAUAAUCCCAAGGCUAAUACCCAUGAAAAUUUGGACCACAAAAAAUAUUCAUGCUUUUUUUUCAAGAGGUUAAUAUUCAUGAAUUUCGGCACAAGGGUAUAACACAUAAUUAUAGGCCAAAGGCUAAAACACAACAAAAAAAUGUUUCCAAGGUUAAUAUUCACGAAUUUUGUGCACAACAAUCCCAAUACAAAAUACUAAUGAAAUUUUAGGCCAUAGAAAAUAUUCAUGUAUUUUAUUCCAAAGUUCAUACUAAUGAAUUUUGGCUAGAGGCUAUAACUCAAGAAAUUAUCGGUCGAAGCCAAAAAUCACAAAAAAAGGUACUACAGAUAAUAUUCAUGAAUUUUCUUGAAACAAACCCAAUGCGAUUAGUCACAAAAUUUUGGGUCGAAGAAAAAUAAUCAUGUGUUUCCAAAGGUAAUUUUGGACGAAAGCUAUAACUUAUGUAAGUAUAGGCGAAGGUAAAAAAAAAACCUAAGGUUAAUAUCCAUGAAUUUGUUCCAAAUGAUCCCCGGGCAAAUACUUGUGAAAUUUUGGACUGAAAAAUAUUCAUACUUUUUUUUUCAAAGGCUAGUACUCAUGAAUUUCGACCAAAAGGCUACAAAUGAGAAAAUUAUAGGCCGAAGGCAAAAAAUCAUUUCUUUCCCAAAACUUACUAUUCACGAAUUUUAGAAUGGCCCAAGGCUAAUAAUUGUGAAGUAUAGGGUAAAGCUAAAUAUCCAAAAUGUUAAUACUCAUUCAUUUUCACCGAAAACUAUAACUCACGUAAUCCGAAGGCUAAAAGUCAUGAUUUUUUUUUGUCCUUCGAGUAUAAUACUUUUAUUAAAAAAGGCUUUGACUAAAAAUUUUAAACAGAGGACUAAUAGUCAAAUUAGUCAAUUUGUUAGGCUUGAGUUUCCUACUCGUGAAAUUUGGUGUUGUGUGUGUUCUUUUCUCGAAGGGCAAUUUAAGCAUUUUUGUGUUAUUUUAUACUUAUAAGGUUAAUAUAAGGCUUACAAUUGUGCCAUUUUUUGCCUAAUAAGAUUAUAAUAUGGUAGUAGGAAAUUUCGUGCACAAGGCAAUAAUGAUGCAUUUUUAGGCAUGUUUGUCGAGAAAUUUGCCAUCGAACUGUGUUUAGUUUCUGAAAUUGAGGAGAAGUUUAGGGAAAGUUUGUAGUUUAAAAAAAAAGUUGGGAGUUUAUAUGAGUAGGAAAGUUUUAAAUGUUAUGGAAAGUUGGGAGUUUGGGGGAAGUUUGGUAUAAACUAAACAGGGCUUAGAGCUAUAUACGUAAUGAGUCAGUUUGGGAUGGCAUGUACCUAUUGGAUCGUGUUGUAUUUACGGCCAGCUUGAUGUGCCUACUCUUUGAUUGAGCAAAACAAUACUGAAUUCUCCGUAUACGAUUAGGAAUUACAACAUGUACAAUGAUUAUUAUUGAGUAAUGAAGCGGUUUGUGUAUUGGUUAGUCUGGCCGCCCGUGUGCGUGCGUGCGAAUAAUGAAGGAAUGGUGGUGUGAGGAUGGAUGCAGGAGGAAAAGGCUCCUCCUCAUCGUAUCCUGGCCGUCUAUCCAUUUCGGCAUUUCCUCCCACGGGGAGGGGAGGGGAGGCACGUGUGGCUCCCACGCGCGAGCGUGCCAGCCAUAUGACGGUCGCACGCGCGAGUCGAACCCUAGCUAGCUAGGCAUCUGGAUCCACACACACACCCACACGCGCGAGCGAGAUCCCGAUGCAGCAGCAGCAGCAGGCGAUGGAGGAGGAUGGGGUGAAGGAGGAAGAAGAGGAGUACUACUUGGAGGAGGAGGACGAGGGGGAGGAGGAGACUCGGCCCCCGCUUCAGCAGCAGCAGCAGGUGGGGUUGGGGCGGCGGGGGCGGGCGCGGGAGGAGAAGGAGCGGACGAAGCUGCGGGAGCGGCAGCGGCGGGCGAUCACGGCGCGGAUCCUGGCGGGGCUCCGGCGGCACGGCAACUACAACCUGCGAGUGCGCGCCGACAUCAACGAGGUCAUCGCGGCGCUCGCCCGCGAGGCCGGCUGGGUCGUCCUCCCCGACGGCACCACCUUCCCCUCCUCCUCCUCCUCCGUUUCCCAGCCGCCACCCACGCAGCAGCAGCUUCAGGUAUGGAAUCGAACGAAUGCAGCAGCAGAUGUGUUCCUGUCUGUUCCCCUCCCUCCCACUCUUCUCUUCUCCUUGUCCGCUCUGCUCUGCUAUGUUUAAAGCUGGCUGGCAGGCAGCUGAGCCUGAGCUCAGUGAGCUGGAAGCCAAGUACCGGAGAGUUAUUUACCCUGUUCCUUUCAUUAUUUUAUUUAUUUUUGACGUCAUAAAUAGGUCGCAUCCGGUACUGUAGGAGAUAUGUUUUCAAGUGAUGAUGACAAAAGCACCCCUCAUAACUCAUUUAUGAGCCCUUUUCGCCUCACGGAGAGUAGAUAUAUAUUCAUUAUUAUUUUAAAUCAGGCUUCCGUAUCCAACUUACGGAGAAGCAUAUGUUUGUCUGGAAGGACAUAUAACGCUGAAAUUAUAGAGACGGGGUAUUUCAUAUUAUGGUAAUUUUGAAUUAAAUAGGUACAUAAAAAAAGACGGAGCAUUACAGCUUGCAAGUAAAAAGACAGGCCGAAAUUAAAGGGCUACCACCGUCCAAAUUAAGCACACAAUAUAUAAAGAUCGUUUAUUAGAAAUGAUUUAUUUAGAAAUUAAAAUUGAAAGUUUGGUGACCGUCGGUUUGCACAUGAGACCGAAAAGAGAAAAGUGGCAAAUUCAUUGACGCACGGGCAAGGGCAAGGGCGCGAGGCAAAGGGGAAAGGUGGUUGGGAAACGUCCAGUCCUUCUCUCGUGGCCUCCGUAGGCUUCCCUUCCCUGGAAACGCGCGCGCACACUCCCAACUCUCUCUCUCUCUGUCUAAUCGUUAUAUUUACGAGUUCCAACGAUCGAGCGCCUCCCCUCGCUUGGGCUAAUCAUAAUAAUCAUGAUUUCUUCUCCUGCGCUCUUCUUCCUCCUCCAGCCAGGCCGCCCCUCCAUCGCCGCGCCGCCGCUCCCCUCCUCGCCGGCGCCUCCCCUCCGCGGCAUCUCCAUCUCCCCCGUCGCCGCCCGCCCCAUCUCCUCCCUCCGCUCCUCCUCCUCCAUCAGGAUCAUCUCGCCGCCGCACGCCCUCCCCGACCCGCUCCUCUCCCUCCCGUCCAUGGACCCCCAAGAGGUACCUCUUCUUCUUCUUCUUCUUCUUCUAUCAGCUACUACUAGUACGUUACGUACGGGCAUUCAACCUAGCUGGCUUCACUGCAGGUGCCCGAUCUGCUGCCCCCGCGCCCACCGGAGCGCGACUUCGCCGGAACGCCAUACGUCCCCGUCUAUGUCAUGCUCCCGGUAGGUACAUCUCUCCUUCCAUUCUCUUCCUCGCACCACGCCGCUCGCUCUUAUGUAUGUAUGUUGCUGUCUGUAGCUUGGAGUGGUCAAUGGUAAUGGCGAGGUGGUCGACGCCGACGUCUUGGUGGGCCAGCUUCGGGUACUCAAGGCUGCCGGCGUCGAUGGGGUCAUGGUCGAUUGCUGGUGGGGGAAUGUCGAGGCCCACAGGCCGCAGGAGUACAAUUGGACCGGUUACAAGCGACUCUUCCAUAUGAUCAGGGAGCUCAAGCUCAAGCUGCAGGUUAUUCCUCCACUCCACAUUAUAUUGUCAUGCAUGUCACCCUUUGUUGUUAAUCAUGUUUUGGUGUUUAUGCGCAUUUCAGAUUUCAGUACCGUGCUAAUACAGGAUCUAUUCAUUUAUCCUCUCCAAUUUUACCCUUUCUUUCAUGGUGUUUCUUUUAAUUUCUUGUCAAAAUACUUACUUAGGUGGUCAUGUCAUUCCAUGAGUGUGGAGGCAAUGUUGGAGAUGAUGUGUCUAUUCCUCUCCCACAUUGGGUAACAGAGAUCGGAAGAAGCAAUCCAGAUAUCUACUUCACCGACAGGGCUGGCAGGCGUAACACGGAGUGCCUUUCAUGGGGCAUUGAUAAAGAAAGGGUUCUUCAAGGACGGACAGGGGUCGAGGUAUUCUACCCACUUCUCUAAUUACGCAAUCCACUAAUUCUUAAUGGGAAGAUCACAAUCCGUUGUGUUUAUGUGUUUAUCUGUUUCAUCCCUUAUUGAUUUAGGUAUACUUUGACUACAUGAGAAGCUUCCGAGUAGAAUUUGAUGAAUAUUUUGAGGAUGGUAUCAUUUCAGAAAUUGAGAUUGGGCUAGGGGCUUGUGGAGAGUUGAGGUAUCCAUCUUAUCCAGCAAAACAUGGGUGGAAAUACCCUGGCAUUGGAGAAUUUCAGGUAAAACUUCACCCUUCACACUCUGUUCUUCUCCUGCGUUCUUUUUUGGGUUCAAUAUCCUAUCUUAAUGAAAUUUGGUCGGCCUAAUCCUUCCGUCGACCCAGCAAUUUUUGGGUUCAAUAUCUACUCAUUGAUGAAUUGACAACCGUCACUUAAUGAUCUGGGCAAGAGCACCAGAUUCAGGCUAUUUACCCUUGUAAAGUUUUCUAUUUACCCUUGUAAAGUUUUCUUAUACAACAAGAGGGUUCACUUGAGAAUGUAUUUUGCUGCAGUGCUACGACAGAUACUUACAGAAAAGUUUAAGAAGAGCUGCAGAAGCACGAGGACAUACCAUAUGGGCAAGAGCGCCAGACAGUGCAGGCCAUUAUAAUUCUGAGCCAAAUCUGACUGGAUUUUUCUCUGACGGAGGAGAUUAUGAUAGCUACUAUGGUCGUUUUUUCCUCAAUUGGUAUUCCCAGGUGUUGGUGGAUCAUGCUGACCGUGUAUUGAUGUUAGCCAGGUUGGCUUUUGAAGGUUCAGAUAUUGCUGUUAAGGUCAGUUAACUUCUUGUUGUUAAUGAAUGAAGUGCACAACUGUUUUCAGUAUUUGACCAUUCUUCUGGGGGCACGUAUCCCUGUUUCCAGCAUCCUAAUCCUAUAGGUUUGACAUCAAGCUUGGUUUACACUUUGUGGUAUGACAGGUUUCAGGUGUACACUGGUGGUACAAAACUGCCAGUCAUGCUGCUGAAUUGACUGCUGGGUUUUAUAACCCAUGCAACCGUGAUGGUUAUGCCUCAAUUGCUGCUGUCCUGAAAAAACAUGGUGCAGCUUUGAACUUUACAUGUGUUGAACUGCGCACUAUGGAUCAGCAUGAGGUAUUUCCUGAGGCCUUUGCAGAUCCAGAGGGCCUUGUAUGGCAGGUAGGGAACUUUCCAUCAUCCUAGCCAUGGUUGCUGUUUUGCUUUCUCAUCUACCUGGUAGCAGCUUAGUAGGCUAAUGUAUUUUUUUUCUGUUUAGCUGAGACCAGCUAUCUUGUUGUUAUGUCAAUGCCUUAUCAAUUGGACGUAUCGAUUUUCAGGUGCUAAAUGCUGCAUGGGAUGCUGGCAUACCAGUAGCUAGUGAGAAUGCUCUGCCUUGCUACGAUAGAGAUGGCUUUAACAAAAUUUUGGAGAAUGCAAAGCCACUGAAUGAUCCAGAUGGGAGGCAUUUACUAGGAUUCACGUACCUGAGGCUCACCAAAGUCCUCUUCGAGAGAGCUAAUUUUUUGGAAUUUGAGCGUUUCGUUAAGAGAAUGCAUGGUAAGGCUUAGCAGACCAUGUUUACUGACAGUGGUUCCACCUGACGUAAACCUCAGACUUAUGAAUCUUGUCAUGUUUGUUUGCAGGUGAAGCAGUUCUCGAUCUACAGGUAUAAGUUGUGUUCAGGGUUCUUACAUACAUACAUAUAUAUACAUGCCAUUGUAAUUGGCAUAGGCCUUAUGGCUUAUGAUGGGGGAACAGAGAUGCCAUUUUUGUUUCGUAGGUUGUUGUAGUAUACCAUCAGCAGAUUUUUGAACUAUAGAGGGUUUGGCUCCAUGGUGUAAAGCAUACCCUUGGCAAAGAGUUGUCAUGCAGAAAAUUGAUGGUUUCAUUCGGAAUGAGGUUGGAAGCAGGUGUAUUUCUUUCGAUGCGGCAGACAUAUUUGAUUUGUCAUGAGAUGAGGAUUGGGUGAGCAGGUGGUAUCCUUCUGAAAGAUUUGAGGCUGUAUUGAAGAGAAUGUGCUGAUGCAUGUUUAUCAUGGAGCAAGCGACAUUAAUGGAGUUAGCAAAGGUUCUCGCGGUGUAUGUGUUUGUAUUUGUUGGUGGAAUGUCACUCGAGGAUCUUGGCUGUAUACAAUACAUACAUGUGCUUUUUUUUGGGUCUUUUCUACAGUGUAUGAGAAAUGCAUGUUUCUUACUGUCAAAACAUUGCAUUGCUCAUCAGUACCGAGAAUUUCUCUGAGUUUUCCCCAUAUUUUACAUGAAUAUUUUAUAACAACGGCUUACAAUUCCUCUAGAAAACAAUGUUUUCUUCUUUCUAGUGUGAGCAUACAAGUUGGGCACAAAAAGAUGUAAAACAAAAGGAAAAGCGUACCCACCACUAGGCAGAUAUACAUACAAGAGAAAUAUGGACAGCAAAAAAUGCGUCGGUAGAUACCAUGAAUGAAUAAUAAGGAAGAAAAAAUAACAGCAGAAGUUGAAGUUGCAUAUACAUAAAAAAAUAAAAAGAGAUGAUGAAAAGGUGCAUACCAGGGUAAGGAAAGGAAGAAGAAAGAGGAUGGAAUGGAAUGUACAGGCACAGCUAGGGAGAAGGUGAGCUGCGCAGCACAAUGUGGCCUGACUCGUCCCUGUCGAAGACCCGCUCGAUGAGGUCGUUCCAGCUCAUACGCUGCCUGGCCAUCGCUGACACCGGCGGGAAGCUCUCGCUUCUCUCCGGCUGCUCGCCGAAGGUGCCGUAAGCCGACGGCGACCGAGCGUCCGGCACCGAGAGCGUCACAGCCCUGCGCAGAGCUGCCUUGUGCUCCUCUACGUGCUCCCUCUGCAGGCUCUCGUUCCUCUCCAUCCUCUGCUCCGAUGGCACCUCCAUUGUCUUCUCCUUCUCAAGCAUCAACUGUUCAUAUGCACAGCCAUGGUCACCAUCAGACAUUUAACAAGCAACUUGCAAGAUGAAUCUAACGACGCCGUCUCAACCACAAUGGGAUGUAAAAACGCCUGUGCUACAUGCUUGUAAGUUGUAAUCCACAGAAACAAAGGUUGGCAAUAUACGGUUUCUUACAUCCAACGCCUUUUGUGCUUCCCUCUCGAUCCAAAUAAUGGCAUGGUCCAUUGUGGCAUUGCAGGAAAGAACUAUAUGCUCAAAUCUACCAUCCACAGGCACAGCUGUUUUCACCACUGGGGGGUAUCUUCCACACCUGGAAUUCAGGAACAAGUUCGUUUAUGAUCAUGCUUGGAAAUCUCUAUUGUAACAAAAGAGUAGUAAUCUGAACAAGACAAAACAUUAAUAAAUUAUCAAGAAAAACCAGAUCAAAUUAAUUGGUAUACUUGAUAUCAUGGGACAUCAGUGUAUUCUAGUAUUGACUGCAUGGCUAGCGGUGUUAGUUUGAAAUAGCUGAAUUAGUAAUUUAAUACGGACAGCAUAAAUGGAAUGAUAUGUUAUUUGCACGUCCUCUUGGCACAAUAAAGUUCAACAAUCAAAGCUACUAGCAUAGCAUCUCUUCUAUGUCUAAUAGACCUGACUACUAUCAAAAUCCUACCAAACAAGCCAUUAACCUUUUAAUAUCAGUACAGUCAGCAAAUUAUAUAUUUCAAGAGGGGCCUCAAGAUAUUUUUGAGUUGUAAAACACCAAACAAACAAGAAAAAAGGGAGUACCUGAACAUUUUUCUCUCUACAAUGUGAUAUAUCCGACCUGGUGCAUAAAGCCUCCUUGGAUCUUUUAACAUAGCAUCUUCAGGUAUGCAAGUGUCCCUCAAACAUCUGAUACACAGCAGGCAGGGCAAGCUGCCCAAAAAGAGGAGAUGAUCCAAGUUUAAACUUGUUUGAACCCAAUAAGCUGGAAGGAGAAAUGAAGCUACAUCCAACUUACUGCAUAGCAUUGCUACAAGCAGAGAAACAGAAAAAAUCGGAUCAACCACCCCAUCCCAAACUAAAUGUCAUUUUCUAUCUCCACUUUUCUAACUCACUGGUGCAUUUGCACUGUCCAUCAGAUCCUCUAUUUCCUUCCUCAAGUCAUACUAUACAUAUCAGCUAUUAGCUGCUAAUUGCUUGGGUCAAGUCAGAUACUAGCUGUGAUUACUGAAGUAUAAACAGAGAAACUUUCUAUAACUUUGAAAAUCACAAGUAAACGGCAUCAACUUCUUUAGGUCCCUACAAAGCUCUUACAUAGACAUCCAACAAGAAAUAUUGUGCAAUCGCAUAAGUUUCAGGCAAUUAUUAGCCACACAAGCCAGCUUAAGUAAUAACUACAUCAGUUAGCAAAUGAAACAAUGGAUGAGCACAUAUGUUACCGAUCUGCCUAUGGAAGCCAUCUCGACAAUUGGAAUUAACAAGCAGAAAGGUAGUGAUGGUAUUUACUGUAAAAGGAAAAUUAAAUGUGACUGGAAUCAUAUAUGUGAUAGUGCUGCCUUGUAUGACCAGUGUAGAAUUGUGUAACGCUACUUUUGUAAAAGAUUGGUGGGCAUGGGCAUAUAUGUACCAUAGGAUUGACUUGAAAAUGUCUUCUAAAGGAGUGGCUGUCCGAGGCAAGAAAUCAUCCUGUCAAUAAGGAGCUAUAAUUAUUUUGUUGAGACAGAAGAUGAAGAAUGCAGAUCAAGUGUGAUGUGGUAGGAAUGGUGAGGAGGAAUAAGCAAGUAUAGCAGGAAUUGAAAAGGGGGAACAACGCUGGGCUCACUUGCAGGACAACAGAGUUGAUAACGUCGGCAUAUCUGAUAGCCAGAUUGAGCGACAUACAUCUGGCAGGCGCCAUGGCGUAGCACCUGAUGCGGCUCCUGUGGAGAUUGGUGCCGAGCUUGUCGAGGUUGAGGAGGACGACGACGGUGAGCAUGGCGGCGAUGCCGGCGCCGAGGGAGUGGCCAGUGAAGGUGAGGGUGUAGUCGGGGUGGUCGGCGAGGAGGUCCCGGAGGAGGUCGCACUCGGCGUCGAGAACCCAGGCGGCGGCGCGGAGGAGGCCGUUGUGGACGUAGCCGCCAUGGAAGCGGCGCUUGCCGAGGCGGUUGUCGAGGAGGAGGGCGUAGUCGGUCUCCCUGGCGAGGUUGAGGCCGCGGAGGGCGAGGACGAUGUCGGAGUUGGGGUGGUCGAGGUAGAGGAGGUAGGGGGUGACGCGGCCGCGGGUGUCGGCGUAGGUGCGGCGGCGGACGACGCAGCGGGCGUCGAGGGGGUGGCAGGGGUGGUGGUCGUAGUUGGCCAUGAUGAGGCGGCAGAGGCGCGGGACGGGGGCGAAGUCAUCGGCGGAGGCGAGGCCCCAGGUGGCGCUGUCGCGGUCGCCGGAGUGGAGGCACCGCUUCCACGCCCACCGCGCGCAUCCCAGGCAGUAGACGCAUUCCAGCAGCGGGAGCCCGCAGGCGAGAGACAUGCCUCUGCCCUGGAGGCGGAGCCCUGCUCUGCACGAUUCGAGAUCACUACUCCUCAGUCCUCAUUCUCCACUGAGAUCGCUGGAGUGCGUGGAGCGCCGCCAUUGUUGCCGCCGGCGCCGCGGAUUGGAGUUGGAACCGAACCGAAUCGAAUCGAAACUUGGAUUCGCCGUUUGUUCGUUGGUUUGGUGUUCCCGGCGUCCAAGAAGAAGCGAGAAUUUGAUUUGGUUUGGUAGAAUGAAUGGCAGUGGGUAUUUCGCUCGCUCACUCGCUCUUGUUGUCUCUUUUAGGAGAGCUUCUAUGGACGAAAUGGGGAUCAACUCCAACUGUACUUCACUCACUGUUAACUAGGACUAGGAGUAUAUCUGCUGCUAAUAAGCACUGUUGACAAUUCCAUCCAACAGAACCACUUGAUCGAAUCAUAUGCUAGGAGGAAACGACCUGAGAGAGCUUCUAUUGUCACACUUAAAAUAUCAUCGUAUCGAUCAUUCAAAGUCGUGUAUACGUACCUACUUUGGAUCCUUUUAUUUUCUUUUCCAUCUACACCUACUCGUACUCUCUCUAUAUAUAAUAGCACAAGUCCAGCGUUUUCGACAGUAAUAAAGUCAACAUCAGGAUUCAGGAAUGAACCAUUAUCAAGUGUACAAUAAUAUACAAAAAGCAUAUAUAUUGAAAUUGUCUCAUCAACACACCUCUUGGGUCUACUACUCUCUAAAAUAAGCUAACUAAAACUAAAAAGGGAUCUCGGGAGAGCAACAAACAGCAUAUUCUGGCGCUCAGAUCCAAAUGGAUUAACGGUUCCUCCGUGUACAACAACAUCAACACGAAAGGAAAGAGAUGCCAUGGUCCGGUCCAUUACAUUUUACAACAAGUAGAACUGAGAGUAAAGAAGCUCACGAAUCUUGUAAUAGUCCUCACACAGGGGCCCUUCGAUCACAAUCUGCUGGGAACCUGUGCUGCCCUGCAACCCACACCAUAAUUUAGUCACGUCAGUACAUUCACAAACAAAACCACUUGAAACCGACGCGACGACUGAUCGCAAUUCAACGGUUUUCAAGAGGGAAAUGAGAAAUCAGUAUAGCAUGCUGUCCUUGAACAGCCGCAGCGGAUCAAAGCCUGGCAAUAGCAUGUUCACAGCGAUAUACUGGAUGCUACUUCACCACUACUUACCUUUUGGCCAGCAUCACCAAUCUUGCGCAGUGUGAUGUAUUCACCACACCGUAAAGCACCACCAGCAAAUUCAACCUGCAAGAAAUCUCUUAGCCCUGAAUUUCAAUGGUUUCAGAAUGUAUCAACAGCUAUAAUUACUCAUGCUUACAGCCUGGUUAACAUCUGCUUCCAAGUUAGCCUAUUACAGUUUUGUUAAUCGAUUUUGGUAUUCCAGCUACUAGUAAGUUAUGCAAACAAUAUUAAGUGUACUCCUAAGAGGAGCCAUCUAACAACUGGUUCUGUAUGGGAGCAGGAGUAACAGUUGUAACUGUCAGGACAUGCUCUCUCUCUCUCUCUCUCUCUCUCUCUCUCCCUCCCUCCCUCCCUCCCUCCCUCUCUCUCUCUCUCUCUCUCUCUCUCUCUCUCAACACUGAAACGUGAAGGGCCAGUAUAUCCAAGAACUUAAUAUUAUACAGUACUAACAUAUUUGAAAAUGAAAACUUACCUGCAAACCUUUAUUUGCCAGGAAUUGCUUAAAAUCAGCCAAUUUCAAAUCACCCACAAGAACUGACUUGUGGGCUGCUGGAGUUGACGACGGGGGCAACAAAGUAAGCUUGUCAUCUGUUUUUCCAACCUCUGCAUCUACCCAUGCAAUUUCAUGCUCACCCAACUGCACAGAGUGCCAGUGUUAGUGCUUUCUUACUGCUAAUCCAUAACAACAAAGUGCAGUUUCAGGUUAGCCCCCAAAGGUUGUAUACUUGUAUGGGCAAAAAAAAAAAUAAUCACAGGCUUGUGGUAUCAGGUUCACAGAUAAUUUUGUCAUGAAAGGCUACUUAUGCUGAAAAACAUUCAACUGAGUAGGGCAACAGAAUGGACCAUCCAGUAAGCAGUAUGGAAUCAAUCAUUUCUCAAAACUGUAUUGGAAGGACCUCGGUCAUUCAUAUUCUUGUAUGGGCAAAAAAAAAAAGAAAUAAUCACAGGCUUGUGGUAUCUGGUUCACAGACAAUUUUGUCAUGAAAGGCUUCUUAUGCUGAAAAACAUUCGACUGACUAGGGCAACAGAAUGGACCAUCCAGUAACCAGUAUGGAAUCAAUCAUUUCUCAAAACUGCAUUGGAAGGACCUCGGUCAUUCAUAUACAUAUUGCAUAUGAAGUAACAUUUUUGCAACAAUAGAAGAAGUUCUGCCUUUUCUGGUUAUAAUCUUAUUACUACUGAAACAUGAAUGGUCCUGGGAAUCUGGCUCACUUUAUAAGCAAAAAAAUCAGUUUGAUAGCUUAAUUUGGUUCAAGUUUAUAUCAUCUGAUAGCGUCCACAUCAAGGAGAUUUAUUAGCACCAGUUGAAGGAUAAAAUACAUUAAUAGUGAAGGAGGAAACCAAUGCUCUUACCUUCUUAGAAAUAACAUUACUCAUUAACUUCUCCGAAAGUUGUACCUGAAAUUACAAAGAUAGUGAAUAAGUUUGUGUAUGUAUGGAAAUAUAUGAUACAGUGAUAGUGCAGUAAAAAUGAUUGGUAAAUGGCAACUAUUCAGUUUUGCCUCAUGUUGUUUAAGUCAUCGGAUAAGAAUUGGACACCAGCAUCAGGCAACGCCUGCCCGUCACACAUAAUAAGAGUUUGGCUGUUAACAUAAACGUUAUACAGACCUUGUAAGCACAUAAAUCUGAUGUCACAUCAAUAGUUUCUUCUAUCUGAGGAGCAUAAACAUGCAAGUCUGAGUUCUUCGAACAAUGCAUUUUUAAAUGCUCAGUAGCUUCUGCUGAUCCAUGAACCAAAACCUGAAAAUGUAACAGGAGCUUCAGUAUGUGAUGGCAUGUUUACCCUCAAGAAAUAAACGGAAAUGUAAAUAAUUGUAUUUGUAAAUGGUUUCCAUAGCUCAAGGGCAUCAAUAAUAAUCAGUAAAUAGGUUUAGGGAAUUUCAAACUAAUUUCUUGUUGAAAAGGGACAAGCUAUAUACGUGAGAAAAAUAUAUGUUCCAAGAAGGAGAUAAUCAUGUGUCAAAAAGUAUAAAUUCUAAAUCCUAAAUCAUGGAUGCUAAAAGAAGGGUAUUUCCAGCACUUACAAGUUUUAAUGGGGCCACAUGAGCAAUAACAGAUUUUACAGAGCGCCCAUCAGACCGACCUUCAAAGUCCAUAUAUGCUAAUGAACACUUGACUUGCACCUAAAAAUGUUGAUCAUAAUUAAAUAGAAGUAAAGAUUUUUCUAGAAAUAAAUAAACAGACAGACAAAAUGAAGUAAAUGGGAAAAAAAACUUACAGUCAUCUCGUUGGAAAUAACUUUUGAGGGUGUAGAAUCAAGGAGUAGGCGUGCUGAGCCCUCAUCAAGCAUACUAUCCAUACCAUCCCCAGCACCCUGAAAACAAUUCAUGAAAACAUUGACAUUCAAGUUUAUUUUGUUGGCAUUUCAAGUUUUUUCAGGUUCCAAGAAAGAAAACCCUAAACAUAGUUGGCUGAUAUGCUCCAGGCAAAAUUAAACCAUCUGGCCACAGGGUUCCGAUUGUAAAAAAAAGAAAAAAAGUACAUAAGCAAACUUACGGGCAUCAAAGUAUUAUCCAUUUCUUCUUGCUUCAUCAGAUAGUCUUCAGGGUUGAUAACCUCACCGAAGUCAUCCCAUUCAGAAGUAUUUUCAAAGAAAGGAAACAUUGGAGCAACACUUGAUGAUGGAGGGACAAAUCCAUCAAUGAGAAUAUCCACAUUCCCGCCAAACUUUGAACCAGCUGAUGGAACCACAGAGCCAAGAAGGGUUGUUAACCACAUAUAAUAUAUUGCAUCAGAUCGUAAAGGUCUUACAAACGCAGCCUAGCUAUACCGUUGGAUGGUUUGCGAGAUGUGCUGGCAUCAAUAACCAUGGGAUCAGAAGCCUUUGCGUUUGAUCCAAGAGACGCCUUCUUUUCCUCCUCUUUGUUUAGACUGGCCUUUAGCGCUUCCUCCUUUUUUAUCCGUUCUUGUUCUUCUUCGUAAGCUUUCAGCUCAUCACCAACUAAAGGAAUUCGCUUGCUCAUAGUGACCUUUACAGCUUUUGGAGGUGGAUCUACUUGGAGCAUGCGAGCUAGUGUCCCAAACUGGAAUGGGAUACUUUGUAAUUAGAUAGCUGUAGAACAUAGAUAUAUGAUGCUAGAAUUCUUUUGCUGAGUGAGAACAACACAAAUGUUUGAUCAGUUUUUGCAAAUACAGAAAUCUAUGGAACAUGAAGGCAGAGAGGAUAUGGUUAACGUGACGUAAGUUUGGAUUCAUCAUCAAGAUUCAUGUUGUUUACACAAAUUUUAAAAGUUUCAUGUAGGUUGUAGCAAUCAAUUUGCUAAGGCCCCUUCAAGGUGUUGGACUACUUGUCACUUACAGGUUUGAAGCUAUAAUGGUUUGUAUGUAGCUAGUUAUUGAAUGUAUGUGCUGAGAAAGAAAUAAACCAUCCAGAUAUAUUGAGUACAUGGAUUUACC
rnacentral:lncRNA from 1 species